rnacentral:tRNA from 1 species
GGGGAAUAGCUCAGUGGUAGAGCAUGUGCUUAGCAUGCACAAGGUUCUGGGUUCAAUCCCCUGUAUCUCCA